GAUGAAGAACGUAGCGAAAUGCGAUAAGUAAUGUGAAUUGCAGAAUUCAGUGAACCAUCGAAUCUUUGAACGCACAUUGCGCCCGCCAGUAUUCUGGCGGGCAUGCCUGUUCGAGCGUCAUUUCAACCCUCAAGACCCCUUCGGGGGACUUGGUGUUGGGGACCGGCACAGGGGCCUGCCUGCUUGUCUUGCAGCGCCCUCGCCGCCCCCGAAAUGAAUUGGCGGCCUCGUCGCGGCCUCCCCUGCGUAGUAGCACAACCUCGCAACGGGAACGUGACGGCGGCCACUGCCGUAAAACAACCCCAAUUUUAUUAGAGUUGACCUCGAAUCAGGUAGGAAUACCCGCUGAACUUAAGCAUAUCAAUAAGCGGAGGA
rnacentral:misc_RNA from 1 species